rnacentral:piRNA from 2 species
ACUGUGUGGAGGUAUAGGUGU